UGUGGCAGGAUAAGUCUUUUAUUGGCUGGUUGAUGUACAGUUGGUUCACCAAUCAAAUGAUAGCGACAGCACUAGCAUCUCAUUGGUUGGUGGGGUUAAAGUUCAUAUACCAAUGAAACGAUAGUAUCUAUACUAUUUAAGGACCUUUAUUAUGACAGGUGGAUAUGUUUGUGACCUGGGGUGCUUCUCUCUCUCCCUGGCAUUUCCGUUUCCGUUCUGAUUCCUUCCUCAGGUAUGUUUGGCUGUUUGUUGGCGGUGUAACAAUGUGCAUGUUGCGAGUCUAAUAUGCGCUAUUUAUAGUUUCAUUUAGAGCACGUCUGGUGGCGUUGGCAGUGCGGCAACUCGCAGCGUAUUUCGGCUGCAGGUAUGUUUAGGUGCUCCGUUUGUUUACCGUCUCAUCUGUAAUUUUUAUUGUGUGUUGCUCUCAGUAAUUGCAGCGAGAGCAGUGAAUGCUGGCUGGUAGACUGAGCUAUGACACCGGUUGUGAGUAACCAUAUAGCGUUGCAUCUAAUGUUUAUUCAAUAACAAUCGUAAGUAUGCCACUUAUUUCUUCAUAUUGGUGGUUAUCUUGUUUUAAUCGUUAUAAUAAUUUGUUUUUUUUAUUCUUUAGUUAAGGGGAAAUUAAAACAUCUUAGUCCUCAUCCUGGCGAAUGAUUUCAGGCAACGCAGCUGCUGUUUUGCUUAGGGACGCAUUUUGGAGUCCGAUCUGCACUUUACGGGCCAGUGAGGAUCGGGUGGAACUGGGGAGGCUAGCUGCUGUCAUUUUGCAGUGUCACAGUGUGCGGUGUGUGUGGAUACAACUUCCCAUUGGUGUGUGUGAUGGUUGCUUUGGUGUGAAUUUAGGUGGGUUUUUGGAUAACCGUUCUGAGUUGCAGCCGGCCUGCCUGGUUCCCACUAAUCCUGGCCCUGGGAAUUACCUCCCUUAUUGUGGAAAUGGUUUGUGUGAGAGAGUUUUAAAUCUAUGCAUGUGUUUUAUAAUAAAAUCCAAUCUUUUGUAUUCUCGCCCCCGUCUCCCCUACUUUGCCUUCAUUUGGUGAAACUUACCUGUGUCCUUUAAUGGGAAUAAAUUCUCUGGUUUCCCACCAGGGUGGCGUAGUCGGAUAAAUUCACUGAUUAACCUUUCCUUUCAUGUGAUACCGCCACAUUU